GAACUGAAACAUCUAAGUACCCCGAGGAAAAGAAAUCAACCGAGAUUCCCCCAGUAGCGGCGAGCGAACGGGGAGCAGCCCAGAGCCUGAAUCAGUGUGUGUGUUAGUGGAAGCGUCUGGAAAGGCGCGCGAUACAGGGUGACAGCCCCGUACACAAAAAUGCACAUACUGUGAGCUCGAUGAGUAGGGCGGGACACGUGGUAUCCUGUCUGAAUAUGGGGGGACCAUCCUCCAAGGCUAAAUACUCCUGACUGACCGAUAGUGAACCAGUACCGUGAGGGAAAGGCGAAAAGAA
rnacentral:rRNA from 1 species